AGGGGGGGGCGGCGCGGGAGUGUCGCCUCGCCCGCCACUAGGGCAGUUAGAGGCGCGGGGAUCCGGGGCUGAGCCGGUGGCUGUGGGGAGGCUGUGUCCGGACGCCGGCGGGGCCACGCCGCCCGGCUCUGCUUGUCAGGUCCUGGCCUGGGGCACCGGGGCGGACGGCGGGGGAGGAGGCCUGAGAACCGGGAGGACGCUGGAGAAAAGCUGCCCUCUGAAUCUUUGUUUGGCUGCCCAGGCUCGCCUUGACUCCAAAUGGUUGAAAACAUACACAGCUUGUGUCUGGCCCCCUGAGCCCCAGCGAGAGUUUCCUGAGGUACCUCACCCUUCCACAAGACAACGAGCUUGCCAUCGAUCUGCGACAGACCGUGGUUGUUGUCAUGGGCCAUUUAGACCGUCUGGCUACGCCCUGUUUGCCUCCGCUGUGUGGCGCUCUGACGUCUCAUAAGUCAUUAAAAAAAAGGCCCUGUGCGGUGGCUCACACCUGUAAUCCCAGCACUUUGGGAG